AGGUGCUGUCGGCAUUGUGUUUUACUGAGAUGAAAAAGAAAAACCUGCUCACAUCAAGAAGGAGCAGUUGCAAUGAAUAAUAAUAAUAAUGAUUCGGACUCUGAUAGAGAGGGAAGAAGAAAAAAUUUUAAACAUUUAAACCAAGCGGCACAAAACAAAAUUUAUCAAGACCUUAUAUCAAUGAUAAGAUUUUUUAUUAGGCACAAGUAUGUAUAAGUCAACCUUCUAACUCUCCGACCCGCCCUAAGGCACACGGAUUUAAACCAUAAAACUGAAUGACCGGACCGCCGCAACAGCAAUUGGCGGGAACUGUGGUUGAGUCCUAAGGGCCGUCACCGGCCACGGUACAACCCUCCCCGAAGGAAGUACGUCCCGUCAUCGAUGGGGGGAGUCAGAUCCCCCACCUAUUAGUGUACCCUCCAGGGUGGCGAGAUCCAACCACCAUGCCGGAAGCAUCUCAUCCUCAUUUCGAGGUGCUCCCCCGAGGGUCCACACAAACGUAAAAGACUUGAUAAUAACAAGCAGAAAUAUAGAGGCACUGGAGACUUUUACGAAGAUUUUCAAAGAAUUUAAAAAUAAAUGAUAAUAACAAGCAGACAUAUAGAGGCACUGGAGACUUUUACAAAUAAGAUUUUCAAAGA